ACCCUAUAAAAUUUGAUGAUUUAGUUAAUCUCUGCGAUUUAAGGAUAAUGAGGGAUUUAAUCUGGUUUAUUGUGCUGGGGCGGCAGGAAUAUAAUUUAGUAACUGUUCUUAGGUAUAAAAUAGUUUUAAUUAGAUAGUGACCCUGAAAUUUCGGGUUGUAAGACUAAGUUACUUUAGGGAUAACAGCGUUAUCUCUCUUGAGAGUUCAUAUCGACAGAGAUAUUUGCGACCUCGAUGUUGAAUUAAAGUUUUCUCCGGGAGUAGAAGUUCGGAUGAGUGGGUCUGUUCGACCUUUAAAAUUUUACAUGAUUUGAGUUCAAACCGGUGUG
rnacentral:rRNA from 1 species